rnacentral:rRNA from 1 species
UACGGGGGGUGCGAGCGUUGUCCGGAAUCACUGGGCGUAAAGGGCGCGUAGGUGGUUUGAUAAGGGUGUGGUGAAAGUCCGGGGCUCAACCCCGGAUCUGCCGUGCCGACUGUCAAACUCGAGGGCUGUAGAGGCAGACGGAAUUCCGGGUGUAGCGGUGGAAUGCGUAGAGAUCCGGAGGAAGACCGGUGGCGAAGGCGGCUCACUGGACUGGUACUGACGCUGAGGCGCGAAAGCGUGGGGAGCAAACGGG